rnacentral:rRNA from 1 species
AUGCAAGUCGAACGAUGCUUUCGGGCAUAGUGGCGCACGGGUGCGUAACGCGUGGGAAUCUGCCCUUAGGUUCGGAAUAACAGCGAGAAAUUGCUGCUAAUACCGGAUGAUGACGUAAGUCCAAAGAUUUAUCGCCUAGGGAUGAGCCCGCGUAGGAUUAGCUAGUUGGUGUGGUAAAGGCGCACCAAGGCGACGAUCCUUAGCUGGUCUGAGAGGAUGAUCAGCCACACUGGGACUGAGACACGGCCCAGACUCC